GUGGGGAAUAUUGGGCAAUGGGGGAAACCCUGACCCAGCAACGCCGCGUGAGGGAAGAAGGUUUUCGGAUUGUAAACCUCUGUCCUUGGUGACGAAGGAAGUGACGGUAACCAAGGAGGAAGCCCCGGCUAACUACGUGCCAGCAGCCGCGGUAAUACGUAGGGGGCAAGCGUUGUCCGGAAUGACUGGGCGUAAAGUGCGUGUAGGCGGCCGAUUAAGUCUGGAGUGAAAGUCCUGCUUUCAAGGUGGGAAUUGCUUUGGAGACUGGUUGGCUUGAGUGCGGAAGAGGUAAGUGGAAUUCCCAGUGUAGCGGUGAAAUGCGUAGAGAUUGGGAGGAACACCAGUGGCGAAGGCGACUUACUGGGCCGUAACUGACGCUGAGGCGCGAAAGCCAGGGGAGCAAACGGGAUUAGAAACCCCGGUAGUCC
rnacentral:rRNA from 1 species